rnacentral:rRNA from 1 species
UACGUAGGUGGCAAGCGUUGUCCGGAAUUACUGGGCGUAAAGGGCGCGUAGGCGGUUCGAUAAGUCAGCUGUGAAAACCAUGGGCUUAACUCAUGGCCUGCAGUUGAGACUGUCGGGCUGGAGUGUGGGAGAGGAGAGUGGAAUUCCUGGUGUAGCGGUGAAAUGCGUAGAUAUCAGGAGGAACACCGGUGGCGAAGGCGGCUCUCUGGACCACAACUGACGCUGGAGGCGCGAAAGCUAGGGGAGCAAACAGGA